AAAUCUCAUAUCAUCACUGUUGCAAUCAACGAUUAUGUCGUCACAUUAGAAAUUACAAAUUCAAUUGCUUUGAGAAACUCUCCAUUAUUGACCACUCAUGCAAGCAUAGAUCUAAUUUUCAACGAUUUAUCUCUAUUUCUUGGAUCAAUUUUCUUCUUAGCUUGUGGAAAUGUUUAUCUAGAACAAAAUUUGAUUUUUCUUAUCGGAUUUGUCUCUUGGGGUUAUAUUCGAUUUGAAGAAAUUGUUGUCAGAAAAUGAUGGGUUAUUGUGGGGGAAAAAUCACCAAUGAAUUGGUGAAGGUGAAAUGAAGAUGAAGAGUUAAUAUUUGGUGAAAAUGGUGGAUCAGCUUGAACGAAGACUUUGAUCUUUGUUUGAUAAAAAAAAACACGUAUAUAUAUAUAUAUAAUAGUAUUAAUGUAUUUGUGCUGAUUUACUUUUUAAAGUAUUUGUUAAAUGAGUUUUUUUAUGUAUAAUAUUUAUUAAUAUGAAGAAAUUAAUAUAUAGAAGGGUAAAAUUGUCAAAUCUAAAUUAAUUUAUAUUUAUUUUAAAUAGGUUUAAAGAAUGGUUACAAAGAAAAUGAAAAUAAGGGAGGUAGAUGUAAUAUCGUAAACCACAGGAAGGUGAGUGUUAUAGAGUGAAAUCUGGAGGGAAGUCUCUGAAAUUAUCCCUAUUUUUUAAUAAUAUAUUGUAGUAAAAUUUCCACUCCAACUUGAUUGCAUUUUCCGAGUUCAAAAUUUUGGGUUUUCAAGUACAAAUAAUUUUUCCCUCUUAAAACAUUGAUAUAUUUUUAAAGUGAAAUAUAUAUAUCCAAAUAUAACCAAAUUCAAGUGUCAUUUUUCACCUUUAAUUUUAAAUAAUUUUAUUCUUUUUUCAAGAUUUAAUUAAAUCUUUAUCCAAACAAGCAAAUAAAUUUAAUGUAAUAGCUCAAAUAGUAAUAUGCUUAACAUAACGAAAAUCUCACAACAACUCUAUAGAUAUUUUUCAAUAAAUUAUGGCAUUAUAUUAUAUAUAAUAUAGAUAGAAUAAAAUAUUUUUAAAAAAAAUAACAAUAGGAUCGUUCAAAACAUUAUUAGCUUUUAAUUUUAAAAGAGAAAAUGGCCAAAAUCCCCCCUAAUCUAUAUUCGAAUUUCCAACUACACACUUUAACUUUACGGAAGUCCUGUCACUCCUGAAGUGUUUAAAACUGAAAUUAAUACCUUCAUGAAUGCUUAACUGGCAAAGAGAGUGUAUUUCACUCUCUCAAAGAGAGUGAACACAAAAAACAAGUAUUAAAACUUUAUUUUUAAUAUCUCUUUUUAAAAUAUAUGUAUUUUUAUUUCUUAUUUAUUGUAUUUCUUCUCCAUAGCAACCAAAUUCCUUCACUGGAUUCACCAUUGUUGAUUUCACACAAACUUUUAAAGUCUUAUGUAAAAAACUUUUAAGAACCAAUCAAUUCAAUUGAAGAAAAAAUGACAUGUAUUUAUAUCAUCCAAAAAAGAGAUUUGGAUCAGAUUUGAAAAAAAAUAUUAAAUUGGGUUUACAUCAAAUUCAAGUGAACUCCCAAAUGAGAAUGCUUUUUAUUUUUUUAUUUUUCUCUUUGCUGCUCGACCAGCAGCCACCAUUGUUGCAUCCUCCGGCAAAACCCCUCCUCCUUCGGAUCCUUUUAGUUUGUUUUUCAAGGUUCUCCGACAAGCAAAACUCGAAUAUUGCUUGACAAGCUCUUGCUAUCAAUAUUUAUCUUUGUUCCUCACAAUUCAAUAGGGAUUUGAAAGAAUUGGGUGAAGAAUUUACUUUAGGAAUUUGAAGAAAUUGAGAGAGUAUAGGAGAAAGUGGAAAAGAAUUAUAAAAAAAAUAAAUUAAUCAAUUUCCACAUGUUAAGUUCACAUGCCAAGAUAGAUGUGGUUGUGGCUUUUUAAGGGUGUAAUUAAUACAGUUUUAAACAGUUCAGGUGGGUGAUAGAACUUCCGUAAAGUUAAAGUGUAUAGUUGAAAAUUCGGAUAUAGAUUAGGGGGGCUUUUGACCAUUUUCUCAUUUUAAAAUUGUAAAUUUGAAUCAAUAAUUUUAAUAGAAAAGAGUCAAAACUACCCUUAGACUAUCCAAAAUAGCUUAAAUAUACCCUUAAACUAUAUUUCGGCUCAAAAAUACCCUUCCCGUCAAACUAUUGGGCCACACCAACCCUUCUAGUUAACGAAAGUAUCCAUGUGUGUGUUAAAUACCACAUGGACGCGCCAAACACACCCCACUGCCAUAUAGACGAAUUAAAUCCCUAAUUUCACUCUUUUCCCCCUCAUUUCAUCCUUUCUCUUAGAAACAAUACUUUCGGUAUCACAUUCCAACAUUCCUCCUUCCGUUUCUGAGCUCUCCAUUCCUUAAACAAGAAUCUAUACAAUCUAUAAACUGCUAAAAAGAUUAUCAGUUCCUUCUUUCAUUUUUUUUCUCGCCAAAACCAAUCAUGUACUAUAAUUCUAAAUCAGUAAAACAUAAAUACAUUUCAAAUUCAUGGAAACCAUAAAUAGUUGGGGCCACCAACUCACCUACCCGUCUUCAAAUCAACAAAACUCAACGAUCAAACAUAGAUUAUAAGGGGCUUUGAUCGCUCACCCACUGGAAAAGAAAAGACACAAAUGGAAUUGAAGAAGUGCACAACAUGAAGAUCUAAUAGAAAAAAAAUGAAAUCUUAGUGUAACAUCUCACAACUAGAAAGAACUAGAAGGAAGUUUAAAAUCUGGAAAUAGUUACUUUUGGAAAGAAUGAGGAAAUCUGGAAAUUUUUAAGCAAGUUAAAGUGAGUUUUUGGUCAACUUCAAACAGCCAUAAUUCCUAGCUCAGAAUGAUUUAAGUGUGGUUCCAGAUAUGGUUGGAAAGCCCUUGGAAUGAUCUUUCCAACGCCUCCAAGUUUGCGCAAUUCCGAGUUCGUAUGAGUGAGUUAUCCCCUUUGAAAGUUGGGUUGUUGUAUUAAGGAAAUGUCCAAUUCGGAAAUUUAAGAGGUAUUUUAGUCUUUUCAUUGCCCUAUUAUUUUAAUCUGUUUUUAGGAGUUUUAAUAUGGGUCAAAUCAGAUUUUAGUCAGUUUUAGAAUUUGGGAUUUCACGCUAGGGCUAAGGAGAAGAGAAAAGAAGGAGAAAAAGGGCAAAAUUCAAUCAAGAUUGAUCAAGAAAGUUGGUGUUUCGCCAAGGAUUUACUUCUAUCAUGUAUGUGAGAUCACAUAGCAUUGGGUUACUUCACCCACGCGCCAACCAUGAUUCAAUUUAGCGAAUUUAAGUCUUUGAAAGUUUAGAAAUUGAGUUCUUGAUAAACAUUGUUGAAGGUUUCGUUUGAAUUCUUAUGGGUUGUGUUGUUGAAGUUUCUUGCGCUUUGAUUCAUGUUUUUCAGGUGUAAUUUUGGUUUGAAUCUACCAUAUAUUAAGAGUAUAAAUGAUUCUAAGUGUUUGGGGAAAGAACUAAGUGAAAUUAGAGGGUUUAGAGUUGAAAAACGAAAAAGAAAAUUCAGGAUUUUCUAGGAAAGGGGCUGGGGCACCGCGCCUCUCAGCGCUCCCCAAAAUAGUCUCUAAAUGUGGGGCUCUAGGGCGAAGCGCCUGCCAGAGCGCCCCAAAGUGUUCUCUGAAUUUUGAGGGUUGGCGCCCCGCGCCUCUCAGAGCGCCAGGGACACCAGUUCAUCCCAUUUGUUCCCCACCUUUUCGUACUUGUUUCUUAGCAAUGUACUUAUGUUUUCUAGUUGAUUCCAACACUCUAAGGUACAUCUAAACAUCAUGAAAUCAUCCAUAAUCAUGAGAUCAUGAACCUUGAAUCCAUAAUCCAAUUCAAGGAAAGUUAAGAUCAAAAGUCAAGAGAAGUAAGAGUCAAGUCAAGAGAAGUUCUUAGAGUUUUCCAAAAGUCUUUUGCAAACGUUUUAACCUUGUUUUAAGAAUUAAGUUUUGAGUUCAGUAAAAAGUAAAGUUGAAGUUCAUUUCUUCAAAAGUAUAUGGGGACUAAGUAUUCCCAAAGAGAUUUAAAAUGUUUUCAUAUUUAAAUAAGAACGGAAACUGAGAUUUCCAAAGAGCCUUCGGGCUAGUUUUCAGAAAAAGUAAUCGCUUUCUAAAUGAAGCAAGAGGGGAAACUUUGAUUUCCAAGAUAGCCUUUGAGCUAAGUUUUUGAGCACUAAUCUCAAAUCACAGAAGAAGUAUGUUUUUAAAUAUAAGAGCUAGUAUAUUUUGGGAGUAGUAUUAAGCACCGAAUUAAGGGCGAGCAUGAGUUCAGAUAACUCACGUCUCUAUAAAACCAUGUAGCCACCAUGGGUAGAAAAGGAUCAUNNNNNNNNNNNNNNNNNNNNNNNNNNNNNNNNNNNNNNNNNNNNNNNNNUUUUUAUAUACAUUAGUUUAUUGUAUUUUUACAUACAUUUCAGAGUUAAAUUGUAUCAUUGUAUAUACACAAAGUUGACAUCAUGUUUUUAAACAACUUUUCUUUAUAUUGCACUUGUUUUAAACUGCUUUAUAUUGAAAUGAGUUCAGUUAAGUAUUCAUGAGUUGAGAAGAGCUAAUGUAAGUGUUUUUUUUCAGAAUCUUUUCAAGCCUAUGUUGUUUUAGCAUUCCAACUCGCAUACUCAUACAUUCAAUGUACUGAUGUCAAUUGGCCUGCAUCGUCUUAUGAUGCAGGUACAGGUAACUAGGAUCUACACUCCAACGCACCGUUGAUCCAGUGAGCAGUUCAGAGUCAGUCGGUGAGCCUCCUUGCAUUCCGGAG
rnacentral:lncRNA from 1 species